rnacentral:rRNA from 1 species
GAUGAACGCUGGCGGCGUGCCUAAUACAUGCCAGUCGAGCGAACAGACGAGGAGCUUGCUCCUCUGACGUUAGCGGCGGACGGGUGAGUAACACGUGGAUAACCUACCUAUAAGACUGGGAUAACUUCGGGAAACCGGAGCUAAUACCGGAUAAUAUAUUGAACCGCAUGGUUCAAUAGUGAAAGACGGUUUUGCUGUCACUUAUAGAUGGAUCCGCGCCGCAUUAGCUAGUUGGUAAGGUAACGGCUUACCAAGGCAACGAUGCGUAGCCGACCUGAGAGGGUGAUCGGCCACACUGGAACUGAGACACGGUCCAGACUCCUACGGGAGGCAGCAGUAGGGAAUCUUCCGCAAUGGGCGAAAGCCUGACGGAGCAACGCCGCGUGAGUGAUGAAGGUCUUCGGAUCGUAAAACUCUGUUAUUAGGGAAGAACAAAUGUGUAAGUAACUAUGCACGCCUUGACGGUACCUAAUCAGAAAGCCACGGCUAACUACGUG